GCCUAUGGCCAGACCGGACUGAGUGCGCCUGAUCCCAUCUGAUCUUGGGACCUAAGCAGUCCCGGGCCAGGCUAGUACCUGGAUGGGAAACCGCCUGGGAAUCCCAGGUGCCGUAGGCU
rnacentral:rRNA from 1 species